GUUUUCCCAGCCCUAGUAUUUGAGCUGGCCUUGUGCCUUGCUUUAACCAAUAAAAUGAGCAGAUGUGUUUCUGGGCUGGUUCUGAGACCUUAAGAGACCUUCUGCUUCAGUCUCUUGGGGUCCUGCUGGCAUGUAAAGAAGCUCAGGCUAAGCCAUGGACGGAUGAGAGACCACGUGGGGAGAUUCCCAACAAGUCCCAACCCACAUCACAUGGAAGAAAGUCAUACAGCAGCGCCCUCAUGCAGAAUGGUGGACCCAGAUGCACAUAACUUGCAAAGAAAUUGUCUGAAAGGAGGUGGCCGUCAGUCAGAGUGAAGAAGGUACCCUUUUCAGACUGUUACAUGAAUUUUAAAUUCCAACACUUUGGGCAGCUGAGGUGGGAGGAUCACUUGAACCCAGAAGUUCAAGACCAGCCUGGGCAACAUAGCGAGACUCCAUCUCUGAAAAAGAAAAAAAAAUUAGUGGGACAUGGUGGCGUGCACCUGUAGUCCCAGCUAGUCAGGAGGCUGAGGCAAAAUAAUCACUUGAGCCCAGGAGGUCAAGACCGCAGGGCGUCAUGAUUGUGCAAUGCAGUCCAGCCUGAGCAACAGAAUGAGACCCUGUCUGAAAACAAACCAACCAACCACUUCUAGAAGCACUUGCAUAUAGUGAAGAAUUCAUAAUUGAGUGGCAGAGAGACAGAUUAUGAGGCAUCCUUCCUGAUGGAGUGUUUUAUAGGAAAGGUAAUGUGGCUCUGGAACUAGCGGCUGUAGGGGCUGGCUUCCGGAUCCUGGCAUCAACAGCAUGUUUUGAUAGCCCAGGUCUAUAAAGUGGAUUUGUGAGUCACUCCUGAAGCUCAGCCUGUACACUGUUUCUUUUUUCUUUUUUUUUUUUUUUGAGAUGGAGUCUCUCUCUGCCGCCCAGGCAGGAGUAUAGUGGCACGAUCUUGGCUCACUGCAACCUCCGCCUCCCGGGUUCAAGCAAUUCUCCUGCCUCAGCCUCCUGGGUAGCUGGGACUACAGGCGAGGGCCACCACACCCAGCUAAUUUUUGUAUUUUUAGUAGAGACAGGGUUUCACCAUAUUGGCCAGGCUGGUCUCAAACUCCUGACCUUGUGAUCUGCCCACCUCGGC
rnacentral:lncRNA from 10 species